GGAGGGGGGGGAAGGGACAUGGUUUUAAUGUGUAACCAGCUUUGUAAUUACAACAGCUGAGGGGAGACUUUCUGGAUUUGUGUGGCAGCUGUGUCAGUGUGCUCUGAAGUCACUGCAGGAACAGGAGUUUGUGAGCUCCGGAAGAAGCCUCCACGAGAGCAACAGAAAGUGUGGUUUUUAGGAGUAAAAUAAACUAGGCUUAUGAGGGAAGCUAGCCUUUACAAGGAAAUGAUUUCCAUGGAGAGUCUUCUUGAUGCGAGAACUUUGUGAGCCCUUGCUCAGAAGCAGAAGUUUCCAAACAAAACAACAAGAAGACUGUAGAUUUACCAUGGUGGAAGAAUUCUUAACUGUUGAAAUUUGCCAAGACUCUGCAAUGAAAAGCUGAACCAAGAAGAGAGUUCUGGAAAGAAAAAAGAAGUUUUUCCAUAAGAUCUACAGGCAUGGAAUAACAGCAAAGAGAAAAAGCAACACAGAUUACAGAUGUAAAGUUGGAUGAAGGACUUAAGUGAGGUGAUUUUCUUUGAUGCACGUUAUUUCUGCCUUUUGCCAAGGUGGCCACAGAGGACCACGGGGACUAAACCGAUCUGUCUUCCCAGCGAUGAUUCCACCAGCUUUCAUUGGACUCUCCCUAUGUUUUCCUGGGUCAUGCUUUGAGAGCAUCAAGUGUUUUUCCUCUGAGUGUGCGGUCUGAUGGCAUUAACGUCAUAUUAAAGAAAGAAAGAAGUGCCCAGAGGCUGUGAAUGAAACUGCUGAACAUUUCACAGAUACUGCAAAGGGCAACUUCUGCCCCAUGUAGUUUACAGCAAAAAAUAAGCAAGACAGCAAAAAGCAGGAGGCAAUAACCAAGAGAGGGAUUUGGCGUGAAAUCUGCUGCAAGAACAUGCAAGUGUGGGAAGGAACAGAGAGCUCUGCUGCUGCAGAUUUCUGUCGGGGUUAGUGAAUACUGCUAUGCUGGAGUUCAGCUGUGAGGAGUGGAGCCAGCUGCCACAGAACUGGGCAUGGACCCUGUUGGACAGGUAGCCACCUGGAGGAGAAGCCCUGAAAGCAGCUAUGUUCAUCACCUUGGCUGGCCAGAAUCCCUUCAAGAAAUAGCUCUGCUGCACAUACAGUUGGAUGAGUGCUCCUGAUGAACAACCCUUUGACAAUGAAAAACCAAAACCACACCAGAAAUUCAGGUUUAGUAAAGGCUUCAAGUCCAUAACUGACAACCCUGGAGAUCUGAGUACACUUCUAGUGUAUGUCCUCCUCACGGUAUAUGAAGAGGAAGUUCAGAGAUAAGAGGGUCUCCAUGCUCUUGCUGGAAGUAUGAAUGUAUAAAGUAUGAUGAAAAAAAGCAUGCCAUACAAAGCAAAAAUGAAGAUGUUAGAAAAUGUUUAUGAAGAGAAGCGUUAUUUCUGUUAUGCCAAGACACUUUCUCAACUGAAGAGGCACAAAAUCGCCACUCCUGGAAUUUCAAGUGAAACCUCAACUCUGUUUAUUCUUGGAAGUUAGUGAAUUUUAGUGUCACCUUUGACCGAACGGCCUGAAUUCUGUUCCUGUUGUAUUUAUAUUGACUUCACAGAGAACAGACUGGAGCCCAAGAAGUCAUAAUUAAGUAGGAAAGAAGUAUGAAUGAGCAUACGAAGAAGAUUCCAAAUUUAGGAUUCUAGUGUAGAGUAUUUCUGCACAGUUUUGAAGAUAAAACAUGUCCUGCAUGAAGUUAGAAUACUGAUAGUAAUAACACAAUUGCAUGGAUGUAAUUUGUUAUCUCUCUGCCUGGUAUGCAUGUGGAUUUGUAACAAAUGUUUUUACUUGUUUGGUACUGUGAUACUUCUGAUGUUAAUUAUUAGUAAUCAGUAAUAAUAGUAAUAAUAAUAAUAGCAAUAAUUAGUAAUUAUUAGUAAUUAGCGCUUCACUACAGAAAGGAAUGGAGAGGUGUGGAUCCAGUAUGAAGCUGGAAAACAUUGAUGCAAAGAUUCAGAAUUUCUUCCCUCUUUCAUGAGAGAAUAAAAUUUCAAAGGUUUUAAAUGACUUCAACUUACUAGGUGAAGACAUCACUCAAUUCUGGAUUGUCCUUUUGUGACACAAAAUCACUUUUUUUGACACUAUCUUUACUGUUGUGUGAAAUGUUUACAGUAUGAGCAAUGCAAAUGUCAAAGAGAAAUUCCACUUUGAGCCAUUGAAGACAAGUUCAUGGUUCUGGCUAAAAUUUGAUUCUGUGAAAGGUUAAUUUUGAAUUUGUUAGAGCCCAACUCUCUAAGCAAAAAUUAUAGUGACAAAAUUUAUAAUGGGUAAGAACUAAAACAAAUGUUCAUUAGUAAUAUCUGUAUUUUACAUGUCUUUUUAUUUCUUCUUAAUAAGUGUCCGAACUCCAACAAUUAUAGCAGCUGAUUCUCAGUACCUUUAAUGAGAUAGUCAUGACUGUUGUGUUUUGCAUCUCCAGUUCUGACAGUACUUUGUGAUGUAUUUCUGGGGCUAGUGAAGAUGAGCGCUAUUGUUCAGUAUAAGUUAGAUACUCUAUAUAUCUAAAAUUCAGGCUUUGUGUCUUAGUGGCACAUCUAAGUUUAGGACUGCUAAAAUUAGUAGCCCCCUUAAAAAAAAAAAAGUGUCACAUAAGGCACUGAUAAGGUACCGUGGCUUAAGAUCAGAAAAUAAAAAUAAGAAGAAAAGAAUUAAGGUGCUUCUCUCUGAUUUGCACAGACAUUCAGAUGCUGCUUUCAAUUUCUGUCUUUUUGACAUUCACAUGGUAUAAUAUAAAGGUUAUAAAUCAUGCUUGUGAGCCAGAAUACUUGUUUUCACUGUUAGAAGGCACGUUAAUGGUAUUAAAACUUUUGUGAAACUUGAA